ensembl:lncRNA
UUCUAACUCACCUCUCCUCUAUGAACGUCCACCGCUUGAUCUCUCAGCAUCUGAAACAAACAAACACAAGAGUAAAGCAGCACUUUGUUCUUUUUCCUCUUUCCUCUUACUUUGCUAUUUUCACACUUUGUUCUUUUUCCUCUUUUCUCACACUUUGCUAUUUUCCUCUUACUUUGCUAUUUUCUCACACUUUGCUAUUUUCUCACACUUUGCUCUUUUCUCACACUUUGCUCUUUUCUCACACUUUGCUAUUUUCACACUUUGUUCUUUUUCCUCUUUACUCUCUUUCCUCUUUUUUCACACUUUGCUAUUUUCUCACACUUUGCUAUUUUCACACUUUGUUCUUUUUCCUCUUUACUCUCUUUCCUCUUUUUUCACACUUUGCUAUUUUCACACUUUCCUAUUUUCCUCUUUCCUCUUACUUUGCUAUUUUCACACUUUGUUCUUUUUCCACACUUUGUUCUUUUUCUCUUUGUUCUUUCCUUAAACUUUCUUCUUUUUCCUCUCUUCUCUCUUUGCUUUUUUCUCACACUUUACUCUUUUCCUCUUUCCUACUUUUCUCUCUCUUCACACUUUACUCUUUGUUUUUCAGAAAAAUUGACGACAAUGCAGUUUGGACUCUUUUUUUUUUUUUUUUUUUUUUUUUUAUUUAGGUAAAAUUCCAUUAAGAAGAAGAAGAAGAAGAAGAAGAAGAAGAAGAAGAAGAAGAAGAAGAAGAAGAAGAAGAAGAAGAAGAAGAAGAAGAAGAAGAAGAAGAAGAAGAAGAAGAAGAAGAAGAAGAAGAAGAAGAAGAAGAAGAAGAAGAAGAAGAAGAAGAAGAAGAAGAAGAAGAAGAAGAAGAAGAAGAAGAAGAAGAAGAAGAAGAAGAAGAAGAAGCUCUGCUUCCACGGCACAUCCUCUGACACCUCCUAAAAGACAUGAACACAAAAGCAAACAAUCAACUACGCUGUCUUCAAUGUGUGACACCAUACAUAACAUUUUCUUGUUGUAACUCACCUCUGCCUGUCUCUGUCAGCCUCCUGAAACAAAUAAAAGACAAAUAUGAUCAAAGUCCCAUGUCUUCAAUCUAUGACAAAGCAAUGAAUAGAACUCAAAACACCCAUCACCUACACUGUGCAUGUUUCUAACUCACCUCU